GCCAGCCAACAUGGCUGGGAGCAUUAGGCCAACUGCAACAGUGAGCAAUUAAAGACCUAUUACGAUCAUUUAAGGCAAAAGAGUUGGAAAAUGAUAUAUACAGUCAGUAAUAAAGAUUUACUGGUUUAUCACUUUCGACCAAUAGGUGGCGCUGUGACCAAAUGAAUAUGGUUUGGUCAGAGUGAGGUGACAAUGACACUCACUAUGGAUAUGACUCCCGAAAAAAUAAGUCAACCAGAUCAAAAGUUAUAAGCAUAUGAAAAAAAUACAGUAGGUGGCGCUGGUUUGGACUCUUUCAGGGCCUUGUGCUGAUGACCCAUACAGAGUUUCGAAACAAUACACUAAUGUGUUCACAAAAUACAGCAUUUUAAAACAAGAUUUAAAAUGUCCGAUGGCCAAAAUGGCCGACAUGGGAAAAUGGAUAUCAUUCGACUCUGCAUGAUGCCCCGAAUUGAAAAAGACCAACUUUAUCAUUUUUGGACAAACCUAUUUGAAGCUAUAAGCAAAAAUAAUGGCUAUAUUGGCUUUUUUGUAUCUCCAGACCAGUAGGUGGCGUUAUGGCAAAACUCAGCAUGUAGGCUCUGGUCUUGCUUGGGAUGAUAUGUAUGAGGUUUCGUCUGAAUAUGAUAAAGCAUUGCAGAGAUACAGCCAUAGUGUGUUCUGAUGUGUUUUCUUGGUUUGCCAUUUUGAUCAUUUGUGUCAGGUUUACUUUGUCAUAAUCUCUAUGUAUUAAAACUCCUUAGUUUAUUCAUUUCAUUGUUACUAAUUGUUUUACUUAGUUUAGUUUCAUUUCAUUUUGCUUUGGUUUCUGUUGGUAUUGGCUACACCUUGGCUCCUUGUUAUAUUGGCUCUACUCUAGCCUGUCACUUGGGUCCCACAUCCAGACUCCACCUAACUGUGUCAUCCUCCUGGCUCCAUAAUGGACUUCCGAACCAUUGGCAAUGUAUGCAUCCUCCAAUGUUCAAACAGCUUCCCUAGGGUCCUUCAUCUGUCCAGCUUCUCCAUUAUCAUCCACUCGAAAUGGCAUCUUCUUGGUUUGCACAUCUUCCAACUGCACCUUGACCCUCAGAUCCACCAGCAUCACCUUGCUUCUCUAACAUUUGGGCUUCAUCUUGGUGUCUAGUGUUCCUGACUCCAUCUUCAAUUGUUGUCUCCCUGGCUAUGCAUUACUCUGCACCAAUUAAGGCUCCACAAUGGUUCUUCAUCUGUCUUGCUCCAUCAAGCAGCAUCAGACUGGUGCUCCAGAUCUCUGGCUCUCUCUUGGUCUUCAGCCUUCCUGAUUCCACCUUGGUCUUCCAUUUUCUCAACUUCACCGUGAUUUGCACUGCCUAAGUCUCCAAUUUUGGACUAUGCAGACACUACAUGUCAUCUGUCACCUUCUAGUUCUACCAGAAAGACUCAGGAGCUGACAUCCUGACUUUGCGUUUCCUGCCUGAAGAUGAAGGCAGGGGCAUAGCCGAUCCCUAAAAAAUAUGGACAGCAACCAUCCUAAUAAUGGAGGGCAGGAUGGAGGGGAAGGUUGGCGUUAGCAUCUGCAAACUCAGACAUGUCUUCACCUGGUUUGCACCACCUACUCCACCUUGAGUCUGCAUUUCUAUAGCUCCAUGAAGGACUAUGAGCACACGACAUAUCAUCUGUCAACAUCUACUUUGCAACACUAGACGGUGCCUGCAGACUUUAACUGUUUGGCACCAAUGUAGCCCUUUAUCUCUCAUACUCCACUAUUGUUGUCAUGUGUCCUAAUUCUGCCUUGGUGUUUCUUUUUGUGUUUCUGAACUGGUCUGGACUACUUAAGGAUCUCCUUUGUUUUGCAUUCUCUUUGGCUCCAUUAAGGCAUCUCACUGUUCCAUUUUGCUGUUGCGUAUUUUCUACUGUGUUAUCAUCUGUUUGUUUGUUUGUUUCUUUGUUUGCCUAUUAUGCUCUAUGUCUGGUUUAUUUCAUUGUUAUUACUAUAUAUUUAUUCUCUUUUUUGAUUCCUUAUCAAUGUAUGUAAUUAAUAAUACAUUUUUUUAUAUUUUCUUUAUUAGUCUGUUUUCAUUCAUUGAAACAAUUUCUAAAUACAGAAGUGCUACGUAUUGUUAAUAAAUUCUAUUAAUUGUCAUAAUUUUUGCAAUAAAUGAAAAGCUUUUAUUUAUUUCUUUAUUUAUUUAUUUAUUUAUUAUGAUUAUUAUGAUUAUCAUGUAUUGCUGAUUGCCUGUUUUGCAGCCAGUACUACAGCUAGUCUGAUUUUUCUUACUAUCUAGUACUAUCUAAGCAAGUACAAUAUAUAUUUCUGUCUGUGAUAGGCAGCAUUACACUGUGCAUUUAUCUUAGCCAUCCUCCAUCCCAGUAUCACAUUUCUAGAUAUGCUACAGACGUCUUUUGCUGUUAACCACUGUCACCUCCUUUCUUAUGGAGCAACUAGUUUUGCAUUAGCAGCUGUUUCCUUUCUGUGUUUUCCUGGUGUAGUAGAGCAGAUCUAUGUACUUGCAGAUCUACUCUGCCAAAACCAAACCUAUUUACAUCUGCACAACAACUACUUAAUAAAAUGUUUCCACUUAUUCUGAGAAUUGACAUGCCUUAAGUUUGUUUUUGUUUUUUACCUUUGAAUAUUUUUUACUCUUUUCGUAAUUUAAUAUUCAUUGGACUGAACUGUUGUUAGACUAGUACCUACAAUAACAGGAGUCUUUAAUAAAAUUAAAUAUAUGAUAUAUUUACUGUUUUACCCGUUAUUGAUGUAUGGUAAUAUUUAGUUGAAUGCUUUUCAUAGUUUAUUUUAAUGUUCAUCUUCUACCUUAGGUGUUUGUGGUGCACAUAUUGUAAAGCUGCCUACUCCACUUUAAUCAUUGAUGUAUUUGACAUUAAACAAAAUACAAAGAAACCAAAAAGAAGUGGUUUGAUAUUUUCUGAUUAAAAAUAUAUAUCUUUCAAGCAAUUUUCAGAGUUUCUGUUUUUCUAAAAAUGCACAAACAUUUUUUCUAUAUUAUCCAACUAACCUACGCUACAUAAUAUUAAAACUUUUCUCUGACAAGUACCAGAGCUAGGUUACUAAUGUUUUGUUAAUAGUGGUCCAACUACCAAAGAUGAAUUAAACCCCUAAUGAGUAUAACUUGCAAAUCCUAUCAGCCAUUUUUUAAUUACAGAAUAAAAACUGUUAUAUUAAUGUUACUUACUAGAGGUAGUCACAUCAAAAAAAAUCUUUUAAGCUUAAUGUUUUUUUGUUUUUUUUAGAAUAUAUAAAUAAGUUUCCAUCCAUUUAAGUGCAUAUAAAAUUGCAUAUAUGUAAUUGAUUUGAGUAUAGUGUCCUCUCCAUCAAAUUUAUCAAAUGUUGAUAAAUCAUUACAUGUUUAACCUUUAUAAAACAUAGUAAAACAUAUUUUUUAAUUCGCCAGACAUGAUUGAAUAUAUUGCUAUCCAUUUAAAAUGAAUAGACACUUUUUUGUUUCAACAUAAUAUAUAUUAGACAUGAAAAUGCUCUAUUAAAACAUAAAUAGUUGUAAUUCAAGAAUGCUUUGAAAUAUAGACCAAUGGUUCUUGUUCGAAAGAACACACUUGUCAAAUUAUUUUAGAAGUGAAAUAAAUGAUAAAAGUUAAAUAAAAUAACUUAUAGAAGUCUAAGUUCUGAAAAUGAAAAUGUAAAAAUACAAUUGCUUAUCUUUUAUAAUAUUCUAU